GUGCUUAACACAUGCAAGUCGAACGAUGAAGCCCUUCGGGGUGGAUUAGUGGCGAACGGGUGAGUAACACGUGGGCAAUCUGCCCUGCACUCUGGGACAAGCCCUGGAAACGGGGUCUAAUACCGGAUAUGACCGUCCAUCGCAUGGUGGAUGGUGUAAAGCUCCGGCGGUGCAGGAUGAGCCCGCGGCCUAUCAGCUAGUUGGUGAGGUAGUGGCUCACCAAGGCGACGACGGGUAGCCGGCCUGAGAGGGCGACCGGCCACACUGGGACUGAGACACGGCCCAGACUCCUACGGGAGGCAGCAGUGGGGAAUAUUGCACAAUGGGCGAAAGCCUGAUGCAGCGACGCCGCGUGAGGGAUGACGGCCUUCGGGUUGUAAACCUCUUUCAGCAGGGAAGAAGCGAAAGUGACGGUACCUGCAGAAGAAGCGCCGGCUAACUACGUGCCAGCAGCCGCGGUAAUACGUAGGGCGCAAGCGUUGUCCGGAAUUAUUGGGCGUAAAGAGCUCGUAGGCGGCUUGUCACGUCGGUUGUGAAAGCCCGGGGCUUAACCCCGGGUCUGCAGUCGAUACGGGCAGGCUAGAGUUCGGUAGGGGAGAUCGGAAUUCCUGGUGUAGCG
rnacentral:rRNA from 1 species